GACGAACGCUGGCGGCGUGCUUAACACAUGCAAGUCGAGCGGUAAGGCCCUUUCGGGGGUACACGAGCGGCGAACGGGUGAGUAACACGUGGGUGACCUGCCCUCAGCUCUGGGAUAAGCCUGGGAAACCGGGUCUAAUACUGGAUAUGACUCCAUGACGCAUGUUGUGGGGUGGAAAGCCUUGUGCGGCUGAGGAUGGGCCCGCGGCCUAUCAGCUUGUUGGUGGGGUGAUGGCCUACCAAGGCGACGACGGGUAGCUGGUCUGAGAGGACGAUCAGCCACACUGGCACUGCGACACGGGCCAGACUCCUACGGGAGGCAGCAGUGAGGAAUAUUGCGC
rnacentral:rRNA from 1 species